CCUACGGGAGGCAGCAGUGGGGAAUAUUGGGCAAUGGGCGCAAGCCUGACCCAGCAACGCCGCGUGAAGGAAGAAGGCUCUCGGGUUGUAAACCUCCUUUCUCAGGGACGAAGCAAGUGACGGUACCUGAGGAAUAAGCCACGGCUAACUACGUGCCAGCAGCCGCGGUAAUACGUAGGUGGCAAGCGUUAUCCGGAUUUACUGGGUGUAAAGGGCGUGUAGGCGGGACUGCAAGUCAGAUGUGAAAACCAUGGGCUCAAACUAUAGCCUGCAAUUGAAACUGUAGUUCUUGAGUACUGGAGAGGCAGACGGAAUGCGUGGUGGAGCGGUGAAAUGCGUAGAUAUUAGGAAGAACACCGGUGGCGAAGGCGGUCUGCUGGACAGCAACUGACGCUGAGGCGCGAAAGCGUGGGGAGCAAACAGGAUUAGAUACCCCAGUAGUC
rnacentral:rRNA from 1 species